GGGGCUGUAGCUCAGUGGUAGAGCGCUUGCCUAGCAUGUGUGAGGUACUGGGUUGGAUCCUCAGCACCA
rnacentral:tRNA from 1 species